rnacentral:rRNA from 1 species
GUGCCAGCCGCCGCGGUAAUACGGAGGGUCCGAGCGUUAUCCGGAAUCAUUGGGUUUAAAGGGUCCGCAGGCGGUCAAUUAAGUCAGAGGUGAAAUCCCAUAGCUUAACUAUGGAACUGCCUUUGAUACUGGUUGACUUGAGUUAUAUGGAAGUAGAUAGAAUGUGUAGUGUAGCGGUGAAAUGCAUAGAUAUUACACAGAAUACCGAUUGCGAAGGCAGUCUACUACGUAUAUACUGACGCUCAUGGACGAAAGCGUGGGGAGCGAACAGGAUUAGAUACCCUGGUAGUCCACGCCGUAAACGAUGGACACUAGUUGUUGGGAUUUAUCUCAGUGACUAAGCGAAAGUGAUAAGUGUCCCACCUGGGGAGUACGAUCGCAAGAUUGAAACUCAAAGGAAUUGACGGGGGCCCGCACAAGCGGUGGAGCAUGUGGUUUAAUUCGAUGAUACGCGAGGAACCUUACCAGGGCUUAAAUGUAUUCUGACAGCUUUAGAGAUAGAGUUUUCUUCGGACAGAUUACAAGGUGCUGCAUGGUUGUCGUCAGCUCGUGCCGUGAGGUGUCAGGUUAAGUCCUAUAACGAGCGCAACCCUUGUCGUUAGUUGCCAGCAUGUAAAGAUGGGGACUCUAACGAGACUGCCGGUGCAAACCGAGAGGAAGGUGGGGAUGACGUCAAAUCAUCACGGCCCUUACGUCCUGGGCCACACACGUGCUACAAUGGUAUGGACA